rnacentral:rRNA from 1 species
UACGGGGGGGGGCAAGCGUUGUUCGGAAUUACUGGGCGUAAAGGGCCAGUAGGCGGCCAACUAAGUCGGAUGUGAAAUCCCCAGGCUUAACCUGGGAACUGCAUCCGAUACUGGAUGGCUUGAAUUCGGGAGAGGGAUGCAGAAUUCCAGGUGUAGCGGUGAAAUGCGUAGAUAUCUGGAGGAACAUCAGUGGCGAAGGCGACACCCUGGACUCAUACUGACACUGAGGUGCGAAAGCGUGGGGAGCAAACAGG